rnacentral:rRNA from 1 species
AAAAGACUUUUGGCAACGGAUAUCUUGGCUCUUCCAUUCAUGAAAAACGUAACGAAAUGGGAUACUUGGUGGGAAUUGGAAAAUCCCGUGGACCAUCCAGUCUUUUAACCCAAGUUGGGCCCCCAGCCGUUAGGGCCAAGGCACCCCUGGCUGGGUGGCACGCC